AAAGUUGAAUCAUAAAAUUAUGGUUUUAUAUUUUAUUCCAUGAGACUUUUACAACAGUAUAUCAUAUGUUCAAAAUGGUUAAGUGAUGAAUAAUGAUUGAUGCUCAAAGUAAGCUACUUGGAAAUAUUGUUGAGAAAAAAUAAAAGUUUAGAUCUCACACUGGGCCCAAUAAAAAAUUUUAUCACCCCCAGCCUAAAUUAAAACCUAAAUUACAAACCCGUUACCCAGGGCCCGACAGCCGACAGGCCCAAAACCAUAAGAUAUUUUCAGUAAAACAAAAAAACCCUAACCCUAACACCCCAUGUGCGCCGCACCCAUCGGCUACCACCCUCGAUCGCGCCGCCCAUUGCUGCUGUCAUUUCACCAAAGAAGUAAGGAGCCACCUGCUCCCCUCCAUCAACGCCUGCAAGCAAGUAAAAGAUAGCAGCAAGAAACAAUAGAAACAGUAGCAAAUAGUGAACGAGAGGGGCUAUAAAAACAUUGCUAAAUUUCUAUGUAAAAGGGGGGUUUUGGUAUCGAAAGAUUCCGAAAAUAAAAACGAAAAAAACUUUGAGGUGAUUCCAUUUUUUUUUUAUUUUUGUGAUUGUGUUGUUUUUUUUAUUUUUUGUUUUGUUUUUAAAUACAAAAAAUAAAAAGGGAGAGGAAAGGCACCUAGGUUCGCCCGUGGGUCUCGUCGCCGGAAUCCUCUUCCUCGUUGCUGAGGUUGGGUCGCGUGAGGGCGUGAAGUUUUCUUUUCUUUCGGCCGUUGAGGCCUAGGAGGCUUGACCUUCUAAUUUUUUUUUAAACGAUUAAAAAGGGGGUAGAUUUCGUGUGGCUCCGACCGCCGCUCACGGCGGUGCUAUGAUGGCAACAUGCCGGAGCCGGCCGCACUAGGGUCUGAAACCCAGAGGAAAAAUGGAAGGAAGAAAUUUAAAAAAGGGGAGGGCGGCUGAAAAUGAUUUUUAGGUUAAAAUUUUGUCAUUUAUAUCAGUGCUCAUACGACGUCGUUUUGGGCCUAAGAUUCAGGCGCCAAAACGGCGUCGUUUCAACGUUGACCCAUGACCCGACCCGACGGCACCGAAGACCCGCGCGUUUUAUAGCGCGUGGGAAAUUUCCGCGUUUGAUACCUUUUGUUUUAUAGUGUUUUUCAAAUCAGCUUUUGUUUAUUUUGAAUUUCAGCAUACAUUUCUGUUUUGUUUCACUUAGGUCCUGAACAAUACGCAGCGUUUCGGGGGCGAGGAAAUAUUUCCAAUAUGCCCCCAUAUAAUCCGCAUAUUUUACUUUAAACCCCUCGUUUUGUUUAUAAUUCUAUUAUUUUCUUGUUAAUUCAGAUUUGAUUGCGAUUUAGUCUUUUCUUUUUCUAAAAACAUUUGUUUUUUUUUAAUUAACUAAUUAAUUAACUAUUUUAUUACUAUUACUUUAGUGGUAUAUUCAGUCAUAUUUUCUUAUCUUACUAUAUAUUAUCACUUUGGGUUUUUAUUCAUAUUAUUAUAAUUUUAUAUUUUAUAAUAUACUUACUUAUUUUUUAUAUACUUUAUAAUUUAUAUAUUCAUACAUACAUUUUAUAAUAUAUAUAUAUACAUAUACGUGUAC
rnacentral:lncRNA from 1 species